rnacentral:rRNA from 1 species
UACGGGGGGGGGCAAGCGUUGUUCGGAAUUACUGGGCGUAAAGGGCUCGUAGGCGGCCAACUAAGUCAUACGUGAAAUCCCUCGGCUCAACCGGGGAACUGCAUCUGAUACUGGAUGGCUUGAGAUUGGGAGAGGGAUGCGGAAUUCCAGGUGUAGCGGUGAAAUGCGUAGAUAUUCGGAAGAACACCAGUGGCGAAGGCGGGUCUCUGGGCAUCUCCUGACGCUGAGGCGCGAAAGCGUGGGGAGCGAACUGG